GUGCACUUUAGGAGUGGAAGGAGGAUCUGAACCAGAAAAAAAAAAGAGAUUUUAGUCUUUUUCAUCAGCAAACCCCCGGCCCAGUGUGGAGACUACAGAGAUAAUGCUGCCUCACCGGUGGUUUUUCUUUCUCUCUCUGCUGAGGCAGGAGCUUGUCUUCGCUUUUAAUACUGAGGACUGAGGAAAGGAAAGAGGAACCAAAGACUUAUCUCAGGAAACCCACUAAAAAAAGGAUGUUUCUUUACGUCACAAACAGCCGUGACAGCUUCUUGGGAGUCCAUCCUGAGAGGGAGGAGCUGUGGAGGUUCCACAUGAGGAGGCCGUCUCUGUGCAUGCCGGUGCUGUGGU